rnacentral:lncRNA from 1 species
GGUUGACUCACAGGCAAGUUAAUGAACAACCUUAGACUUUGGGUCAUGAAAUGUUGUCAAGAAAAUUCAUAUUACACACACGUUUAUGUUACUGAGCUGAACCCCAGUAGAACCCUUUAUACUGAAUUUCAACUCCACUGCCACCUCCAGUAUGUUUUCCUCUACAACCUUCUUGCAGAAAUCUUUGUAUCUGUUUUUAAAGGGGCUGCCAAAUUCUGAACAUCAUUAUGCAUUUCCAUAUAAUAUCUUGCUACUUGAUAGCACAUUGAUCCAAAGAGUUUAAAGACAGAAAUAAUCACAUUUUUUUAAUCUUCCUGCAUUUUUGAUUGCCACCAUGACAGUGCCAAACAUACUCCUUUAUUAGCAGAGAAAGCCACACAGGAAUGAAUCAAUACCCAGUACGACACAACUCCGAUGGGUGUCACUCCAGCAGAGGAGUCCUGGGAGCUGCCAAUUACGGUCUGAUGCAAUGUUUGGGAAAGAGCUGCAGAGUACACAUGACUCAACACAAUGUGACGAUUUGCAUUCCUAUCUCUUGGGAAGUUGUACUUAUCAGCACCACCAAGUACCAUGCGGUCAGCAAGAGAGCUGGGCUGAGUGUGUCAUUGGAGAAUUAAAAAGGAAUUAAAAACCAAGACGGGGAUCUGGGGAGAAUGUAAAGAAGAGUUCCAUCACCACAGCAGAUGCCCCUGGAGGAGGGCUGAGCCUUUGUCAAUGCUACACCAAUAAAGGCACCUUUAGGAAAAUGACUGGAAGAAAU